CCUACGGGUGGCAGCAGUGAGGAAUAUUGGUCAAUGGGCGGAAGCCUGAACCAGCCAAGUAGCGUGCAGGAUGACGGCCCUACGGGUUGUAAACUGCUUUUAUACGGGAAUAACGCGCCUUACGUGUAGGGCUUUGCAUGUACCGUAUGAAUAAGGACCGGCUAAUUCCGUGCCAGAAGCCGCGGUAAUACGGAAGGUCCGGGCGUUCUCCGGUUUUAGUGGGUUUAACGGGAGCGUAGGCCGCAUGGCAAGCGUUCUGUGAAAUGUCCGCCCAAACCGGGCCUUGCAGCGCGAACUGGCGUGCUUGAGUCCGCGGAAAGCAGGCGGAAUUCGUCGUGUAGCGGUGAAAUGCUUAGAUAUGACGAAGAACCCCGAUUGCGAAGGCAGCUUGCUGCAGCGGAACUGACGCUGAUGCUCGAAAGCGCGGGUAUCGAACAGGAUUAGAUACCCUGGUAGUC
rnacentral:rRNA from 1 species